rnacentral:lncRNA from 1 species
ACGCGUAAUCUUUAACCUCAGCCAUAAAUGGCUUAUACCUUAUAUAUUUCUGUCUAAUACAUAACACCACUUUAUACUUGGCAGCUAAUUCCUGUAAUCUAACUGGCACUUCCUUUGCUGGUACAUCGAAUGAUUCAGUAUACUCGAACCUACGCCUCUUAGUACGUGGCGCAGACUCAGAGCACACAGGGCACACCUCAACACAGACCCUAAUAUAACUCUCAGGUAUGCCAUAAAAUUUAGCACCUAC